CAUUUAGUGCUGCAUUUAUUCUUGGUGGAAAGACGAGGAUCAAAAUCGUCCCCUCUAAAUCCCAGCAUGUGAACAGGACACAGGACUGCAACAGAACAUCUUCCUCGACUGCCAUGAAGACCAAGAUGAAGAUGAUGUGCUUCCCUCUCUGCCUGCUGCUGCUCACCGCCUGUUGCUUUGAUGCGUGGCGUAAGCCGCCUUUUCAUUAGUUUACCUGCACGUUCAUCUCAGUUUCUUUUCAUUUCCAUAAAACACAAGAUCCAUAAACAUUUUGUACCUUAAAGCAUUCUGUUUACAAUAACCUAGCCACUGGCAAGUUUGAGUCUCACUUUUAAGUUUGGGUACCUGGAAUUAGGCAACGUGGUACAUUUCUUGUAUUUUUGAAGCAUCUUAAGAGUUUGAAAUUCACCCGGUCAUUCUCACAAGCAAUGCAGCAUGACUUUGAGGAAUCUACGCUCUGCUGUUUCAAAUUCAGCAAGAUCCCCAUUCCGUUUGUACUAGUGGUCAACGUCAAGAAGACUAGUGCAUCCUGUCCCAUUCAAGGGUUUAUAGUUGAGACUAGAAAAAGCAAAAAUCUGUGUUAGCAAGACUUCCAUUUGGGGUCAUAAUUUCUUCAAUCGCGUCUAUAACUUGGAAAAUAUUGGGGAUGAAGAUUUGCAGCACUGAAGAUCUACAAGAAGACUGUCUCUUCAGGAGUUUACAGUUAUUUUCUUUAGUCACUUCAUGUCAUUUACAUUAAAUGAACAACAUGUUUAAGAAUUUCUUUGUGCUUAUCUGUUGGAACAAAAUUUGAAUGUAAAAACAAUAAAGAUUGGCACAUUUUGAAGGGGUUAACUCCAAGAAGUACCAGACUGUUUCUGUUUGCUUGUUGCGAACAAAUCUUCUAGUAUCAACAAAACGGGACUGUGUGGAGGCUUGAGGUUUGACACCAUCUCCUCUCGGAGAUUCUAGUGAUUAAAAAAUAGUUUUCUGUGUGAUUGCACUUUAACUUUGCACCUGCAUCAUUUAUCUGCCAGUUCUCCAGCCUCCUGUUUGUUGCAGCAACAUGCAUAAACUGUCUUAAAACACAUACGAGUUGAAUCAUCUGUAAUAUGUGGCCUUGUAAUGAACUGGGACCCCAUCAAGAAUAAAGUUCCUCAUGAUGGUU